rnacentral:lncRNA from 1 species
GCGCCAACCGCUAGAGGCUGAUCCGCAGCGUGCUGCCUGGUCACCACCCGCCAUGGCCCGCGCUGCCCCGCUGCUCGCCGUGCUGGCCACACUUCUCACCGCCGCCGCUGCAGGCGGAGACGCACCGCCGGGGAAAAUCGGUGCGGGAAGGAUGCGGUGGGGUGCUCACUGAGGACGGGCGGGAAGAGGGUUCGCAGCUGUUAUUGGAGCUGGGAUUGGGGGCUCUGCUGUGGCCCAUUUCCUUCAGCAACACUUUGGACCCCGAGUGCAAAUUGUCGUCUAUGAAAAAGGGACCGUAGGUGGCCGCCUGGCCACCAUCUCCGUCAACAAGCAGAACUACGAGAGCGGAGCUGCCUCCUUUCACUCUCUGAGCCUCCAUAUGCAGGACUUCGUCAAGCUGCUGGGGCUGAGACAGAGGCGAGAGGUGGUGGGAAGGAGCGCCAUCUUCGGAGGAGAACAUUUCGUGCUGGAGGAAACCGACUGGUACCUGCUGAACCUCUUCCGCCUCUGGUGGUACUACGGCAUCAGCUUCCUGAGGCUGCAGAUGUGGGUGGAGGAAGUCAUGGAGAAGUUCAUGAGGAUCUACAAGUACCAGGCUCACGGCUAUGCCUUCUCGGGCAC